UCAACAUCAUGGACUGCAGGACAACACUGCUGCUGAUAGCUUUCUGCUGGACAGGUGUAGCUGGUCAGACUCUGACAGAAUCUGAAUCAGUGGUUAAAAGACCAGGAGAAUCCCACACCCUGACCUGUACGGCAUCUGGAUUCACACUUAGGAGCUAUGACAUGAGCUGGAUCAGACAAGCUCCUGGAAAAGGACUAGAAUGGAUCGCCUAUAUAGGCACCAGCAGUACUCCAGUCUCCUACUCCAAUUCAGUUCAGGGAAGAUUCACCAUCUCCAGUGACUCAAACAGUAAACUCUAUCUGAAGAUGAACCAGCUGAAAACUGAGGACACAGCUGUGUAUUACUGUGCUCGAGAGGCACAGUGA